rnacentral:sRNA from 1 species
UUGACGGAAUUGUGGACAAGCU